UCGGGUGUGACUGCGUACCUUUUGUAUAAUGGGUCAGCGACUUAUAUUCUGUAGCAAGGUUAACCGUAUAGGGGAGCCGGAGGGAAACCGAGUCUUAAUUGGGCGUUAAGUUGCAGGGUAUAGACCCGAAACCCGGUGAUCUAGCCAUGGGCAGGUUGAAGGUUGGGUAACACUAACUGGAGGACCGAACCGACUAAUGUUGAAAAAUUAGCGGAUGACCUGUGGCUGGGGGUGAAAGGCCAAUCAAACCGGGAGAUAGCUGGUUCUCCCCGAAAGCUAUUUAGGUAGCGCCUCGUGAAUUCAUCUCCGGGGGUAGAGCACUGUUUCGGCUAGGGGGCCAUCCCGGCUUACCAACCCGAUGCAAACUGCGAAUACCGGAGAAUGUUAUCACGGGAGACACACGGCGGGUGCUAACGUCCGUCGUGAAGAGGGAAACAACCCAGACCGCCAGCUAAGGUCCCAAAGUCAUGGUUAAGUGGGAAACGAUGUGGGAAGGCCCAGACAGCCAGGAUGUUGGCUUAGAAGCAGCCAUCAUUUAAAGAAAGCGUAAUAGCUCACUGGUCGAGUCGGCCUGCGCGGAAGAUGUAACGGGGCUAAACCAUGCACCGAAGCUGCGGCAGCGACGCUUAUGCGUUGUUGGGUAGGGGAGCGUUCUGUAAGCCUG
rnacentral:rRNA from 2 species